rnacentral:tRNA from 1 species
GCGCCUUUAGCUCAGGCGGAUAGAGCAACGGCCUUCUAAGCCGUGGGUCGCAGGUUCGAGUCCUGCAAGGCGCGCCA